CAGCAGCCACGGUAAUACGUAGGUGGCAAGCGUUGUCCGGAAUUAUUGGGCGUAAAGCGCGCGCAGGUGGUUUAAUAAGUCUGAUGUGAAAGCCCACGGCUCAACCGUGGAGGGUCAUUGGAAACUGUUAAACUUGAGUGCAGGAGAGAAAAGUGGAAUUCCUAGUGUAGCGGUGAAAUGCGUAGAGAUUAGGAGGAACACCAGUGGCGAAGGCGGCUUUUUGGCCUGUAACUGACACUGAGGCGCGAAAGCGUGGGGAGCAAACAGGAUUAGAUACCCGAGUAGUCCCUGUCUCUAUACA
rnacentral:rRNA from 1 species